GACGAACGCUGGCGGCGUGCUUAACACAUGCAAGUCGAACGGAAAGGCCCUGCUUUUGUGGGGUUCUCGAGUGGCGAACGGGUGAGUAACACGUGAGUAACCUGCCCUUGACUUUGGGAUAACUUCAGGAAACUGGGGCUAAUACCGGAUAGGAGCUCCUGCUGCAUGGUGGGGGUUGGAAAGUUUCGGCGGUUGGGGAUGGACUCGCGGCUUAUCAGCUUGUUGGUGGGGUAGUGGCUUACCAAGGCUUUGACGGGUAGCCGGCCUGAGAGGGUGACCGGCCACAUUGGGACUGAGAUACGGACCAGACUCCUACGGGAGGCAGCAGUGGGGAAUAUUGCACAAUGGGCGGAAGCCUGAUGCAGAAACGCCGCGUGCGGGAUGACGGCCUUCGGGUUGUAAACCGCUUUCGCCUGUGACGAAGCGUGAGUGACGGUAAUGGGUAAAGAAGCACCGGCUAACUACGUG
rnacentral:rRNA from 1 species